GCGAAUGCUGACAUGAGUAGCGAUAAAGAGUGUGAGAGACACUCUCGCCGAAAGUCCAAGGGUUCCUGCGCAAUGCUAAUCAGCGCAGGGUUAGUCGGCCCCUAAGGCGAGGCAGAAAUGCGUAGUCGAUGGGAAGCAGGUUAAUAUUCCUGCACCAGUGGGUAGUGACGGAUCUCGUGUGUCGUCAGUCCUUAUCGGAUUGAACUGGCGGCGAAGAGGUCCCUGGAAAUAGCUCCCACAUUAGACCGUACCCCAAACCGACACAGGUGGACUGGUAGAGCAUACCAAGGCGCUUGAGAGAACUAUGCUGAAGGAACUCGGCAAAUUGCUCCCGUAAGUUCGCGAGAAGGGAGCCUCUGCAUUGGGCAACCAGUGUGGAGGGGCACAGACCAGGGGGUGGCGACUGUUUACUAAAAACACAGGGCUCUGCGAA
rnacentral:rRNA from 11 species